rnacentral:rRNA from 1 species
AGCAGUCGCCGCGGUAAUACGUAGGUGGCAAGCGUUGUCCGGAAUUAUUGGGCGUAAAGCGCGCGCAGGCGGUUUCUUAAGUCUGAUGUGAAAGCCCCCGGCUUAACCGGGGAGGGUCAUUGGAAACUGGGAGACUUAGAGUGCAGAAGAGGAGAGUGGAAUUCCAUGUGUAGCGGUGAAAUGCGUAGAUAUAUGGAGGAACACCAGUGGCGAAGGCGACUCUCUGGUCUGUAACUGACGCUGAGGCGCGAAAGCGUGGGGAGCAAACAGGAUUAGAGACCCCAGUAGUCCCUGUCUCUUAUU